UGAGUAACCUGCCCUUAACUCUGGGAUAAGCCUGGGAAACUGGGUCUAAUACCGGAUAUGACUCCUCAUCGCAUGGUGGGGGGUGGAAAGCUUUUUGUGGUUUUGGAUGGACUCGCGGCCUAUCAGCCUGUUGGUGAGGUAAUGGCUCACCAAGGCGACGACGGGUAGCCGGCCUGAGAGGGUGACCGGCCACACUGGGACUGAGACACGGCCCAGACUCCUACGGGAGGCAG
rnacentral:rRNA from 1 species